rnacentral:rRNA from 1 species
AUGUGGGAAUCAUAAUGGCCGAAAAUCUAAGGUUUCUUGGGGAAGGUUCGUCCGCCCAAGGUAAGCCGGGAGCUAAGGCGAGGCCGAAAGGCGUAGUCGAUGCACAUACGGUUGAAAUUCCGUAGCCACCGAAAUUUAAACUAGAGGGACACUUGAAACUAUCUGGACCCGGGCGUUGGUUGACCCGGGCGAAAGGGACCGAAAUCAAGUAGGGAAGUCAGAGAACGUCGAGGCGAGAAAAGCUCUAGUGUAUAAUAAGGUGCCCGUACCGCAAACCGACACAGGUAGAUGAGGAGAGAAUCCUAAGGCCAACGGGAGAAGGGUUGUUAAGGAACUCGGCAAAAUGACCCCGUAACUUCGGGAUAAGGGGAGCUCCCUAAGGGGAGCCGCAGAGAAUAGGCCCAAGCGACUGUUUACCAAAAACACAGGUCUAUGCUAAAUCGAAAGAUGACGUAUAUGGGCUGACGCCUGCCCGGUGCUGGAAGGUUAAGAGGAGAGCUUAGCGCAAGCGAAGGUUUGAAUUGAAGCCCCAGUAAACGGCGGCCGUAACUAUAACGGUCCUAAGGUAGCGAAAUUCCUUGUCAGGUAAGUUCUGACCCGCACGAAUGGCGUAACGAUUUGGGCACUGUCUCAACAGCCCGCCCGGCGAAAUUGUAGUACUGGUGAAGAUGCCAGUUACCCGCAACUAGACGGAAAGACCCCAUGGAGCUUUACUGCAGUUUAAUACUGGGAAUCGGUAAUGCAUGUACAGGAUAGGUGGGAGACUAGGAAGCAUAGUCGUCAGGCUAUGUGGAGUCACCGGUGGGAUACCACUCUUGUAUUGCUGGUUUCCUAACCUGCGGCCGUGAAUCCGGUCGGGGGACACUGUUAGGCGGGCAGUUUGACUGGGGCGGUCGCCUCCAAAAGAGUAACGGAGGCGCUCAAAGGUUCGUUCAGCACGGACGGAAAUCGUGCAUUGAGUGUAAACGCAUAAACGAGCCUAACUGCGAGACCGACGGGUCGAGCAGUAACGAAAGUUGGAGUUAGUGAUCCGGUGGUAUGUGAGUGGAAAUGCCAUCGCUCAACGGAUAAAAGCUACCCUGGGGAUAACAGGCUGAUCUCCCCCAAGCGUCCACAGCGACGGGGAGGUUUGGCACCUCGAUGUCGGCUCGUCGCAUCCUGGGGCUGUAUUCGGUCCCAAGGGUUUGGCUGUUCGCCAAUUAAAGCGGCACGCGAGCUGGGUUCAGAACGUCGUGAGACAGUUCGGUCCCUAUCUGUUGCGGGCGUAAGAGAUUUGAAGGGAGCUGUCCUUAGUACGAGAGGACCGGGAUGGACUGACCGCUGGUGCACCAGUUGUCCUGCCAAGGGCAUAGCUGGGUAGCUACGUCGGGACGAGAUAAACGCUGAAGGCAUCUAAGCGUGAAACUCCCCCUAAGAUAAGAUCUCUCAUCCUUUAUGGAGUAAGGCUCGUCGUAGACUAUGACGUUGAUAGGUCAGAGGUGGAAGCGCCGUAAGGUGUAUAGCUGACUGAUACUAAUAAGCCGAGGGCUUGACCUA